rnacentral:rRNA from 1 species
GACAAACGCUGGCGGCGUGCUUAACACAUGCAAGUGGUGCGACGAACCAGGCUUCGGCCUGGGGCAGAGCCGCGAACGGGUGAGUAACACGUGGGCAACCUGCCCUGUUGAUCGGGACAACCCGGGGAAACCCGGGCUAAUACCGAAUGUGGUGCCGGCUCAUGAGAGCCGUCACGAAAGGAAGAUUCGGGCUCCGCGACAGGCUGGGCCCGCGGCCCAUUAGCUUGUUGGUGGGGUAAUGGCCUACCAAGGCAACGAUGGGUAGCUGGUCUGAGAGGACGAUCAGCCACACUGGGACUGAGACACGGCCCAGACUCCUACGGGAGGCUGCAGUGGGGAAUCUUGCGCAAUGAGCGACAGCUUGACGCAGCAACGCCGCGUGGGGGAAGAAGGCUUUCGGGUCGUAAACCCCUUUCAGUUAGGACGAAGCUUUAUUGGUUAAUAACCAAUUGGAGUGACGGUACCUUCAGAAGAAGCCCCGGCUAACUACGUGCCAGCAGCCGCCGUAA